AAGCUCGUAGUUGAAUUUCGGGAUUAGUACGUCGGUCGUGCCUUAGGUACGUACUGGUGUUACUGGUUCCUACCUUCUGACGAACCAUCAUGUCAUUAAUUUGGUGUGGUGGGGAAUCAGGACUGUUACUUUGAAAAAAUUAGAGUGUUUAAAGCAGGCUCGCGCUUGAAUGCAUUAGCAUGGAAUAAUGAAAUAGGACGUUGAUCCUAUUUUGUUGGUUUCUAGGAUUGACGUAAUGAUUAAUAGGGAUAGUUGGG
rnacentral:rRNA from 1 species